UUAUAAAUAGUGUAAAUGGUAUUCCUAAAAAUGAACAUUCAAUCGGCACAUUUAUAUUAGUGAGAGAGAAAUGGCAAAUUGUGAUGGGAGAAGGAAGGAGGUGAUAGGAAUAAUUGGAGGUGGAAUCAGCGGUCUCUUGGCCUGCAAAUAUGCAAUUUCCAAAGGAUUUGAUCCAAUUGUUUUCGAGUCAGAAAGUAGCAUUGGAGGUGUUUGGAGUAAGACUAUUGAGAGCACUAAACUGCAGACACCAAAACCCCUUUACCAAUUCUCUGAUUUUCCAUGGCCUGAUUCUGUAACCGAAGUGUUUCCCGAUCAACACACGGUGUUGGAGUACAUUGAAUCAUACGCACGUCACUUUGAUUUGGUGAGACACAUUCAGUUCAAUAACAAAGUAUUGAGCCUUAGCUAUGAAGAUGAUGGUGGCAAUGGAACCGGUCGAGAAUGGAUGUCUAAUGGCAAAUGGAACGUUACUGUACAACACACUCCAACCCUAUCCAUAAAGGUAUACCAAGUUGAUUAUGUAGUAGUUUGUGUGGGAAAGUUCAGUCAAGUCCCAAACAUACCUGAAUUCCCUCAAAACAAAGGUCCUGAAGCUUUUGAAGGCAAAGUAAUCCAUUCAAUGGAUUAUUCAAAGAUGGACUCCACAACUGCAACCGACUUUGUCAAAGGAAGGAAAACAUGUAGCCGUUGUUGGAUUCCAAAAAUCAGGACUGGACAUUGCCAUGGAGUCCUCCACAGUAAAUGGGGUUGAACGUCCGUGCACCGUAAUAAUCAGGACACCACAUUGGAACGUUCCUGAUUAUUUCCCCUGGGGAUUCCCAAUGGCAAAACUCUAUUUGAAUAGAUUCUCAGAACUUACAGUGCAUAAACCCGGUGAAGGCCUUCUUUUAUAUCUCAUAGCUACAAUUCUCUCACCUCUGAGGUGGGGCUUCUCAAAGUUUGUGGAAAGCUAUAUAAAACACAAGCUCGGGCUUUCAAAGCACGGGAUGGUGCCAGAUCAUAGUUUCUUAAACGAAUUGAGUGCCUGUUUAAUUUCUACAGUGCCUCAGGGUUUCUACGACAGAGUUGAGGAAGGACGUCUCAAACUCAAGAAAGCUAAGAGUUUUGGAUUUACUAAACAAGGCAUUGUGCUUGAAGGUCAGGAGGCCGAACCCAUUAAAUCUGACUUAGUCAUACUCGCCACAGGCUUCAACGGAAUUGAUAAGCUCAAACACAUUUUUGAAUCACCAAAAUAUCAGCAACUCAUAGCAGGCACAGACGAUUCUGCUGCAGUUCCCCUCUAUAGGGAAUGCAUUCAUCCCCAAAUUCCACAACUGGCAAUUAUUGGAUUCUCAGAAAGCAUAGCAAAUCUAUACACCUCAGAAAUAAGGUGCCGAUGGCUGGCAGAGCUUCUUGAUGGAAAAUUCAAGCUGCCUAGCAUAAAGACGAUGGAGAAAGACAUAGCGGAAUGGGAUAAAUACAAGAAGAGAUACUCAAAGAAGUACUACAGGAAAUCAUGCAUCGGUGCAUUGCAUAUUUGGCACAACGACCAACUCUGCAAGGACAUGGGCUGGAAUCCUAAGAGGAAAAAGGGUCUUUGGGCUGAGUGGUUUGAACCUUACGGACCAAUGGAUUACACAGGCCCAAUAUAAGAUCAGCACCCAACUUCCCCUUCCUGGGCUUUCUCUUUUGUGUUUUUACUUCUUCCUCACCGUUGUUUUACCGUCUAAAAAGUGUAAUUU